GCCUGGGUGGCUCAGUCGGUUGAGCGUCCGACUGUGGCUCAGGUCAUGAUCUUAUAGCUCGUGGGUUCAAGCCCCGCCUCAGGCU
rnacentral:tRNA from 1 species